GACGAACGCUGGCGGCGUGCCUAACACAUGCAAGUCGAACGGAACUGUUUUGAAAGAUUUCUUCGGAAUGAAUUUGAUUUAGUUUAGUGGCGGACGGGUGAGUAACGCGUGAGUAACCUGCCUUCAAGAGGGGGAUAACAUUCUGAAAAGAAUGCUAAUACCGCAUGACAUAUCGGAACCACAUGGUUUUGAUAUCAAAGAUUUUAUCGCUUGGAGAUGGACUCGCGUCCGAUUAGUUAGUUGGUGAGGUAACGGCUCACCAAGACCGCGAUCGGUAGCCGGACUGAGAGGUUGAACGGCCACAUUGGGACUGAGACACGGCCCAGACUCCUACGGGAGGCAGCAGUGGGGGAUAUUGCGCAAUGGGGGCAACCCUGACGCAGCAACGCCGCGUGAAGGAUGAAGGUUUUCGGAUUGUAAACUUCUUUUAUUAAGGACGAAAAAUGACGGUAC
rnacentral:rRNA from 1 species